AUUGAACGCUGGCGGCAGGCUUAACACAUGCAAGUCGAGCGGGGAAGUGUAGCUUGCUACAUUACCUAGCGGCGGACGGGUGAGUAAUGCUUAGGAAUCUGCCUAUUAGUGGGGGACAACAUUCCGAAAGGAAUGCUAAUACCGCAUACGUCCUACGGGAGAAAGCAGGGGAUCUUCGGACCUUGCGCUAAUAGAUGAGCCUAAGUCGGAUUAGCUAGUUGGUGGGGUAAAGGCCUACCAAGGCGACGAUCUGUAGCGGGUCUGAGAGGAUGAUCCGCCACACUGGGACUGAGACACGGCCCAGACUCCUACGGGAGGCAGCAGUGGGGAAUAUUGGACAAUGGGCGGAAGCCUGAUCCAGCCAUGCCGCGUGUGUGAAGAAGGCCUUUUGGUUGUAAAGCACUUUAAGCGAGGAGGAGGCUACUCUAGUUAAUACCUAGGGAUAGUGGACGUUACUCGCAGAAUAAGCACCGGCUAACUCUGUG
rnacentral:rRNA from 1 species